rnacentral:rRNA from 1 species
AUCAACGCUGGCGGCGCGCUUAACACAUGCAAGUCGCACGAGAAAGCAGGAGCAAUCUUGUGAUACAGUGGCGUACGGGUGAGUAACACGUGGAUCAUCUACCUUCUAGUGGGGAAUACCCCGGGAAACUGGGGACAAUACCGCAUAAGCCUCGUGAGAGGAAAGCAGCAAUGCGCUGGAAGAGGAGUCCGCGGCUGAUUAGCUAGAUGGCGGGGUAAACGGCCCACCAUGGCGAAGAUCGGUAGCCGGCCUGAGAGGGCACACGGCCACACUGGCACUGAAACACGGGCCAGACUCCUACGGGAGGCAGCAGUGGGGAAUCUUGCACAAUGGAGGAAACUCUGAUGCAGCGACGCCGCGUGAGCGAUGAAGCCCUUCGGGUGUAAAGCUCUUUCGACGGGAACGAUAAUGACGGUACCCGAAGAAGAAGCUGCGGCUAACUACGUGCCAGCAGCCGCGGUAAUACGUAGGCAGCAAGCGUUGUUCGGAAUUACUGGGCGUAAGAGUGUGUAGGCGGUGCUCUAAGUCUGUCGUGAAAUCUCCCGGCCUCAACUGGGAGGGUGCGGCGGAAACUGGAGUGCUCGAGGAUGGGAGAGGUAAGCGGAAUUCCUGGUGUAGCGGUGAAAUGAGUAGAUAUCAGGAGGAACACCUGUGGUGUAGACAGCUUACUGGACCAUUUCUGACGCUGAGACACGAAAGCGUGGGUAGCAAACAGGAUUAGAUACCCUGGUAGUCCACGCCCUAAACGAUGCAUACUUGGUGUGAGCGAUUCAUUUCGUUCGUGCCGGAGCUAACGCGUUAAGUAUGCCGCCUGGGGAGUACGGUCGCAAGGCUGAAACUCAAGGAAUUGACGGGGGCCCGCACAAGCGGUGGAGCAUGUGGUUCAAUUCGACGCAACGCGAGAACCUUACCUGGGCUCGAACGGCUAUGGACAAUCCUUGGAAACAGGGGCUUCUCGCAAGAGACUGUAGUCGAGGUGCUGCAUGGCUGUCGUCAGCUCGUGUCGUGAGAUGUUGGGUUAAGUCCCGCAACGAGCGCAACCCUUGUCCUGUGUUGCCAUCAUUAGUUGGGCACUCUCAGGAGACCGCCAGCGAUAAGCUGGAGGAAGGUGGGGAUGAUGUCAGUCAUCAUGGCCUUUAUGUCCAGGGCUACACACGUGCUACAAUGGCCGGUACAAAGCGCUGCAAACUCGCAAGAGGGAGCUAAUCGCAAAAAACCGGUCUCAGUUCGGAUCGCAGGCUGCAAACUCGCCUGCGUGAAGCUGGAAUCGCUAGUAAUGCCGUAUCAGAACGAUGGCGUGAAUACGUUUCCCGGGCCUUGUACACACCGCCCGUCACAGCACGAAAGUGGAGUGUACUAGAAGUUCCCCUUAAAGGACCCAAGGUAUGAUUCAUGAUUGGGUGA